rnacentral:rRNA from 1 species
GUGCCAGCAGCCGCGGUAAUACAGAGGUCCCGAGCGUUGUUCGGAUUCACUGGGCGUAAAGGGUGCGUAGGUGGUCGGGUAAGUCUGAGGUGAAAUCUCCGAGCCCAACUCGGAAACUGCCUUGGAUACUAUUCGGCUAGAGGGUUGGAGGGGGGACUGGAAUUCUCGGUGUAGCAGUGAAAUGCGUAGAUAUCGAGAGGAACACCAGUGGCGAAGGCGAGUCCCUGGACAACUCCUGACACUGAGGCACGAAAGCUAGGGGAGCAAACAGGAUUAGAUACCCGGGUAGUCC